rnacentral:tRNA from 1 species
AACUAAAACCAAAUAGAGGUAAAUUAUUGUUAAUAAUUCAACUGAACGUUAAAUUUCUAGUU